rnacentral:rRNA from 1 species
UACGGGGGGAGCAAGCGUUGUUCGGAUUUACUGGGCGUAAAGGGCGCGUAGGCGGUCAGCACAAGUCAGUUGUGAAAUCUCCGGGCUUAACUCGGAAAGGUCGACUGAUACUGUGCGACUAGAGUGCAGAAGGGGCAACUGGAAUUCUCGGUGUAGCGGUGAAAUGCGUAGAUAUCGAGAGGAACACCUGCGGCGAAGGCGGGUUGCUGGGCUGACACUGACGCUGAGGCGCGAAAGCCAGGGGAGCGAACGGG